rnacentral:tRNA from 1 species
GGUAAAGUGGCUGAGUAAUAGGCGAUAGAUUGUAAAUCUAUUAACAAGGGUUUCCUUCUUUAUCA